rnacentral:rRNA from 1 species
AUUGAACGCUGGCGGCAGGCCUAACACAUGCAAGUCGAGCGGAGCGGCGGACGGGGGAGUAAUGCCUAGGAAUCUGCCUGGUAGUGGGGGAUAACGUCCGGGAACGGGCGCUAAUACCGCAUACUAGCAGAGGAGCCUAGGUCGGAUUAGCUAGUUGGGGGGGUAAAGGCCUACCAAGGCGACUAUCCGUAACUGGUCUGAGAGGAAGAUCAGUCACACUGGAACUGUGACACGGUCCAUAUCCCUACGGGAGGCAGCAGGGGGGAACAUUGGACAAUGGGCGAAAGCCUGAUCCAGCCAUGCGGGGUGUGUGAAGAAGGUUUUCGGAUGGUAAACCACUUUAAGUUGGGAGGCGUUACCAACAGAAUAAGCGCCGGCUAACUUCGUGCCAGCAGCCGCGGUAAUAC